rnacentral:rRNA from 1 species
GACGAACGUUGGCGGCGUGCUUAAUACAUGCAAGUCAACUGAAGCAGUGGUAGCAAUAUCGCUGUGGAGGUGGCGCACGGGUGAGUAACACGUAGGUAAUCUGCCUUCAGGUCUGGCAUAACUCCGGGAAACCGGGGCUAAUAGCAGAUGAUGCAGCGGCUCGACAUCGAGACAGUUGUUAAGGCUAUGGCGCCUGAAGAUGAGCCUGCGUCUGAUUAGCUAGUUGGCGGGGUAACGGCCCACCAAGGCAACGAUCAGUAGCUGGUCUGAGAGGAUGAUCAGCCACACUGGAACUGAGACACGGUCCAGACUCCUACGGGAGGCAGCAGUAAGGAAUAUUGCUCAAUAGGAGAAAUCCUGAAGCAGCAACGCCGCGUGAGGGACGAAGGGCUUUUGCUUGUAAACCUCUGUAGUGAGAGAAAAAAAUCCCAAUCUUUGGGACAUGAUGGUAUCUCAAAAGUAAGCCCCGGCUAACUACGUG